rnacentral:rRNA from 1 species
AGCGAACGCUGGCGGCAGGCUUAACACAUGCAAGUCGAGCGGGCAUCCUUGUGGUGUCAGCGGCAGACGGGUGAGUAACGCGUGGGAACGUGCCCUUCGGUUCGGAAUAACUCAGGGAAACUUGAGCUAAUACCGGAUACGUGCGAGAGCAGAAAGGUUUAUCUGCCGAAGGAUCGGCCCGCGUCUGAUUAGCUAGUUGGUGAGGUUAUGGCUCACCAAGGCGACGAUCAGUAGCUGGUUUGAGAGGAUGAUCAGCCACACUGGGACUGAGACACGGCCCAGACUCCUACGGGAGGCAGCAGUGGGGAAUAUUGGACAAUGGGGGCAACCCUGAUCCAGCCAUGCCGCGUGAGUGAUGACGGCCUUAGGGUUGUAAAGCUCUUUUCUCCGGGACGAUAAUGACGGUACCGGAGGAAUAAGCCCCGGCUAACUUCGUG